AAAAAAAUAGUUAAUAAAUUAACAAUAUUUUGUCAAAAUAUAAUUGUCAUAUAAGACUUUUUUUU
rnacentral:tRNA from 1 species